GAUCAUGGCUCAGGAUGAACGCUGGCGGCGUUGCUUAACACAUGCAAGUCGAACGAAGACAUCUGAGUGCUUGCACUUGGAUGGACUGAGUGGCGGACGGGUGAGUAACGCGUGGGUAACCUGCCUUAUACAGGGGGAUAACAGUUGGAAACGACUGCUAAUACCGCAUAAGCGCACGGUAUCGCAUGAUACAGUGUGAAAAACUCCGGUGGUAUAAGAUGGACCCGCGUCUGAUUAGCUUGUUGGUGAGGUAACGGCCCACCAAGGCGACGAUCAGUAGCCGGCCUGAGAGGGUGAACGGCCACAUUGGGACUGAGACACGGCCCAAACUCCUACGGGAGGCAGCAGUGGGGAAUAUUGCACAAUGGGGGAAACCCUGAUGCAGCGACGCCGCGUGAGUGAAGAAGUAUUUCGGUAUGUAAAGCUCUAUCAGCAGGGAAGAAGAAAUGACGGUACCUGACUAAGAAGCCCCGGCUAACUACGUG
rnacentral:rRNA from 1 species